rnacentral:rRNA from 2 species
GGAUCAUUACUGAAGUCAAGGGGGAGUGCUGGCCCGCGCGGCAAGUGCACCCUCCUCCCUUCAUCCACACACACCUGUGCACCUUUCGAGGCGGGACCUCCCGUGCCCGGAGCCGGCCCAAUCUAGCAUUGUGUGGGCCUCGAUUCGAGGCCCCGGCCUGAGGGCCCGCCUACCUUUUCACAUGCACUUUUCUUGACCUGGAACGUAGUCGCGGCGCCGCCGCAAAACCUAAUACACAACUUUCAACAACGGAUCUCUUGGUUCUCGCAUCGAUGAAGAACGCAGCGAAAUGCGAUAAGUAAUGUGAAUUGCAGAAUUCAGUGAAUCAUCGAAUCUUUGAACGCACCUUGCGCUCCUUGGCAUUCCGAGGAGCAUGCCUGCUUGAGUGUCAUGUUAAAUCUCGACCUUCGGGUUGGACUUUGGACGCUUGCGGCGGCCUGGCCCGCCGCUCGUCUUAAAUGCAUUAGCGGGGACAGCGGCCCAUUGCUGGCGUUUAGUAAUGCUUGCGCCGAGCGGGGUCCGCUUUUCGCUUCCUCGUCCUUCGGGACGCGCUUGACUUCUGGCCUCAAAUCAGGUAGGAUUACCCGCCGAACUUAAGCAUAUCAAUAAGCCGGA